GUCAUCUGCGUAGAUUGGGACCACAGAAUCGUAUAUCCCUGAGCUUCUGCCGUCAAGGUGGCGGACUGGCUUACCCUUCUGCUAAAACAGCUCUCUAGCCCAAAAGUUCCUGCCUGUUUUAUCUUCAUGGAAUUGUUGGUGCUGGUCCAGUCCAGCCCCAAGAUAAACCUCUGAGGUUUAAUGCCAGUUGGGAGAGCAGGACAGCGGCAAAUUCCAAGGGAAGCCCAGGGUUAUCACAAGCCCUGUGGCCGCAUUAUGUCACAUUGCCAACUUCAACAGAGCUUGACCUCAGGCUGAACUCCGCUUUGCCAGGCUGCAGAGAACGAAGCCGAGCAGCUCUAUCAAGCAUCGACCUUCCCAGCCAAGCAGGAGCCACCUAAACAAACCUAUCGCCUGUUCCCAAGAGAACUUCCUGAUUGUUUAUAAAUAAGCUCUGAGGAAGCCAACAGCCAUGUUGCUUCCCCACAUGGCAAGAAACUGCAGCUCGCCAAUGGAGCGGAGGGCAAUUUCUGGCCAGCAGCCACCAGGAAACAGAAUUCCUCAGUAUUACAGUCACAAAGAACUGAAAUCUGCCAACAAAUGAAUGAUUUUGGAAGCAUAUACCUCCCCAGAUGAGAACCUAUUCCUGGCCAACAGCUUGAUUACAGAGGCCAGCUAAACCAUGCCCAGGCUCCCGAUCCACCGGCAUUGAAAGAUAAUAUGUGUGUGUGUUGUGUUCUAAGUUGCUAAGUUUGUGGUAAUGUUACAUUGCAUAAGAUGACUGAUACAGCUUUUGGUAAUGGCAGCAGAGUGUCAAUUUAACAAAUGUCUAAAAAUGGGGGAGUGGCUUUGGAGUGGCAGUGGCUGGAGGAAUUUGGAAGGGCACGGCCGGGAAAGCUUAAAUCGUUCUGGACAGACUGUUAAUAGAAAUCUGGACAUUAAGGAUGUGCCAGUGAGGACUGAAAAGGAAGUGAGGGACAUGUUAGAAACUGGAAGAAGGAGGACCCUGGUUAGAUAGUGACAGAGAGCUUAGCACAGCCGUCUUCUGAAAUUCUGUGGAAAGUGGAACUUGUAAGUGAUGAACUCAGUUAUCUAAGGAUACUUCCAGGCAAAGUGUUGAAGAUGCUACUUGGUUUCUUCUUGCUACUUAGAAUAAAGUGUGUGAAAAGAGA